rnacentral:rRNA from 1 species
AAGCCCCGGCUAACUACGUGCCAGCAGCUGCGGUAAUACGUAGGGGGCGAGCGUUGUCCGAAUUUACUGGGCGUAAAGCGCGUUAAGGCGGCCGACAAAGUUGGUGGUGAAAUUUCAGGGCUCAACUCUGAAACUGCCUCCAAUACUGGUUGGCUUGAGUGCGAGAGAGGAAGGUGGAAUUCCCGGUGUAGUAGUGAAAUGCGUAGAUAUCGGGAGGAACACCAGUGGCGAAGGCGGCCUUCUGGCUCGCAACUGACGCUGUAGCGCGAAAGCGUGGGGAGCGAACGGGAUUAGAUACCCCGGUAGUCCACGCCCUAAACGAUGUGCACUAGGUGUUGGGCGUAUUGACGCGCUCAGUGCCGCAGCUAACGCAUUAAGUGCACCGCCUGGGGAGUACGGUCGCAAGAUUA